GUGGGGAAUAUUGGACAAUGGGCGAAAGCCUGAUCCAGCCAUGCCGCGUGUGUGAAGAAGGUCUUCGGAUUGUAAAGCACUUUAAGUUGGGAGGAAGGGCAUUAACCUAAUACGUUAGUGUUUUGACGUUACCGACAGAAUAAGCACCGGCUAACUUCGUGCCAGCAGCCGCGGUAAUACGAAGGGUGCAAGCGUUAAUCGGAAUUACUGGGCGUAAAGCGCGCGUAGGUGGUUCGUUAAGUUGGAUGUGAAAGCCCCGGGCUCAACCUGGGAACUGCAUCCAAAACUGGCGAGCUAGAGUACGGUAGAGGGUGGUGGAAUUUCCUGUGUAGCGGUGAAAUGCGUAGAUAUAGGAAGGAACACCAGUGGCGAAGGCGACCACCUGGACUGAUACUGACACUGAGGUGCGAAAGCGUGGGGAGCAAACAGGAUUAGAUACCCUAGUAGUCC
rnacentral:rRNA from 1 species